UUCAAAACAAAACUUUACUCAUAUAUCGUUUUAUCCAAAACCCUAAUCUUCUCCACCUCUAUCACCAAUCUUCUCUACCGUCACACCAACAAACUGGUGUUUCCAUUAUGUGCAAUCCAAUCCUCUUUUCACUUUCUCUGCAAUCAAAGUUUUUGGUGGUGUAGUUUCUCUUGAAAUUCAUGAUGCCGAAUUACCGAUUUCAAUGGGGUGAUAUUCGUACAAAAUCAACUUAAUACAACCUGACUUGAAGAAUGUGCUAAAAAGGUUACUUUUUUAUUAACGCUAUCAACAACAAGUCCAAGGGCUGUUGGUCCAAUCCUCCCAGCAGCCAUUCCACUCCUUGGAUCUGUUAGAAAGUCAGUUGAAAGAGCUGGAGAUUAUGUCUUCUACAACCUGCAUUGCCGAUUUGGACGUCUCUUUAAAAAGCCUGUUGUACAUACCCCCAUCAUGAUACUGAAGUGAUUCGCCAAGAGCGAGUGAUGACAUUCCGUAAAGAGCUGCUCCACCGAAACCUACCCCAUGAGAUCCCAUUUGCACCAGAGAGAGUUUCCUCCAGACGUCUUUAGCUAGAGGGAAAUCGAUGAAAACAUAAGUCACCAAUACAUAAAAGGCCCAUUAUACUUCAUGAUUAAUUAUACUUCAUGAUUAUUUGUUUUAGGUAUUUGGAUUUCAAGUUGACAAUGGUAUAUAAAUAGAAAGCUGUAACAUACCAACGAUUCUUGCCCUAAAUCUCUACAAAAGUGACAGCGGCGACAUCAAAGACAUCAGCGACAGGCGACAGCGGCGAGUUCCUUCUCCGGCGGCUUUGCUUCGUUCUCCGGCGGACCUGCUUUCUUCUCCGGCGAGUUCCUUACAGCGGCGAGUUCCUUCUCCGGCGGACCUGCUUUCUUCUCCGGCGAGUUCCUUACAGCGGCGAGUUCCUUCUCCAAUCCAACAGACGUGUAGUUAAUUUAUGGCAUCUAUGGAAUCAACCGCUAGUAAAGUUCUUAAAAGAAAAUCUAACGAUAUUGGUUGGGAAUACGGAAGUUUGGUGGAUCCAAAUAAGUUAGAUAGAACUCAAUGCGACUUAUGUAAAAAGACUAUGUCCGGGGGAAUAUAUAGAUUGAAACAACAUAUAGCAGGCAUACCGGGAAGUGUUACGGUUUGUCCAAAAGCAACAAAAGAUGAUCAGUUAAGGGUUCGAAAUGCUCUUAAUGAAGCCCAAAACAAAAAAAAGGCUAAACAAAGUGGUGAUGAAGCUUUAAGAUCCGAGGUGAACAUUGGUGAUGAAACAAUUGACCUAGAUGAUUGUUUAGGAGAUUUGAAGGAAUCUCGUUCUUUUGGUCCUAUUAAUAGAUUUGGAACUAGCCAAGGCAAGAAUAAAAAUGCAUACGAGCCUAUUCUAGAUAUUAUCUCAAAAAAAUCAUCCAAAAGGCUUGACACUUGUCUACAUAUGACGGCCUACAUUUUAAAUCCAUAUUAUUUUUAUAAUAAUUCGGAGGUACGAGAUGAUUUAGAAGCCAAUGAUGCUGUGGUUGAAUGUGUUGGUGUUUUAUUUCCCAAAAAUUAUGAUAUGCAAUCCCUAAUCUUGUCGGUCGAGUUGCCAAUCUACAAGCGGAAGCAAGAAAAAUUUGACCGUCCUAUUGCACUUAAAGCAUGUGAGAUCAACAACGAGAACUUUGAUCCGGAACCAUGUAAGGCAGAAAUUUAAUCUAUUUGAAAGAUAUCAAUGGCAAAACAACAACUUUUACAAUAAAGAUAAAAGUGGUUAGGCUUUGGAGAAAACCAAAAGGUUGGUGAGAUAUGAGCUAUUGGGAUGGUGCUCAUGGAUGAAAAGGUACAUCGAGUAAGACAAUAAAUGUGAUGUACAAGGAAAUUUUUAGUGAAAUUUGAAUUAUUUUUUGUAUUUUUUAAACUAUCUUAUAUAUUUUUAACUAUAUUUUGUUAAUAUAGAAUAAUAUUU